GUGGGGAAUUUUGGACAAUGGGCGCAAGCCUGAUCCAGCAAUGCCGCGUGCAGGAAGAAGGCCUUCGGGUUGUAAACUGCUUUUGUACGGAACGAAACGGUCCGGGUUAAUACCCUGGGCUAAUGACGGUACCGUAAGAAUAAGCACCGGCUAGCUACGUGCCAGCAGCCGCGGUAAUACGUAGGGUGCAAGCGUUAAUCGGAAUUACUGGGCGUAAAGCGUGCGCAGGCGGUUUUGUAAGACAGGCGUGAAAUCCCCGGGCUCAACCUGGGAAUUGCGCUUGUGACUGCAAGGCUGGAGUGCGGCAGAGGGGGAUGGAAUUCCGCGUGUAGCAGUGAAAUGCGUAGAUAUGCGGAGGAACACCGAUGGCGAAGGCAAUCCCCUGGGCCUGCACUGACGCUCAUGCACGAAAGCGUGGGGAGCAAACAGGAUUAGAUACCCCGGUAGUCC
rnacentral:rRNA from 1 species